rnacentral:rRNA from 1 species
UACAGAGGGUGCAAGCGUUGUUCGGAAUUAUUGGGCGUAAAGCGCGUGUAGGCGGCAUGGCAAGUCGGGUGUGAAAGCCCUCAGCUCAACUGAGGAAGUGCGCCCGAAACUGCUUUGCUUGAGUGCUGGAGAGGGUCGGCGGAAUUCCCCAAGUAGAGGUGAAAUUCGUAGAUAUGGGGAGGAACACCGGUGGGCGAAGGCGGCGACCUGGACAGUAACUGACGCUGAGACGCGAAAGCGUGGGUAGCAAACAGG